rnacentral:rRNA from 1 species
UACGUAGGGUGCGAGCGUUAAUCGGAAUUACUGGGCGUAAAGUGUGCGCAGGCGGCCGCGCAAGUCGAGUGUGAAAGCCCCGAGCUUAACUUGGGAAUUGCGCUCGAAACUACGUGGCUGGAGUGUGGCAGAGGAAGGUGGAAUUCCAGGUGUAGCGGUGAAAUGCGCAGAUAUCGGGAGGAACACCGGUGGCGAAGGCGGUUCUCUGGGCCUGUACUGACGCUGAGGAGCGAAAGCGUGGGGAGCGAACAGG